rnacentral:rRNA from 1 species
AGUGAACGCUGGCGGUAGGCCUAACACAUGCAAGUCGAACGGCAGCACAGUAAGAGCUUGCUCUUACGGGUGGCGAGUGGCGGACGGGUGAGGCAUACAUCGGAAUCUACUUUUUCGUGGGGGAUAACGUAGGGACACUUACGCUAAUACCGCAUACGACCUACGGGUGAAAGCAGUGGAUCUUCGGACCUUGCGCGAUUCAAUGAGCCGAUGUCGGAUUAGCUAGUUGGCGGGGUAAAGGCCCACCAAGGCGACGAUCCGUAGCUGGUCUGAGAGGAUGAUCAGCCACACUGGAACUGAGACACGGUCCAGACUCCUACGGGAGGCAGCAGUGGGGAAUAUUGGACAAUGGGCGAAAGCCUGAUCCAGCCAUACCGCGUGAGUGAAGAAGGCCUUCGGGUUGUAAAGCCCUUUUGUUGGGAAAGAAAAGCAGCAGGUUAAUACCCCGCUGUUCUGACGGUACCCAAAGAAUAAGCACCGGCUAACUUCGUG